rnacentral:rRNA from 1 species
GACGAACGCUGGCGGCGUGCUUAACUCAUGCAAGUCGAACGGAAAGGCCCUGCUUUUGUGGGGUGCUCGAGUGGCGAACGGGUGAGUAACACGUGAGUCACCUGCCCUUGACUUUGGGAUAACUUCAGGAAACUGGGGCUAAUACCGGAUAGGAGCUCCUGCUGCAUGGUGUGGGUUGGAAUGUUUCGGCGGUUGGGGAUGGACUCGCGGCUUAUCAGCUUGUUGGUGGGGUAGUGGCUUACCAAGGCUUUGACGGGUAGCCGGCCUGAGAGGGUGACCGGCCACAUUGGGACUGAGAUACGGCCCAGACUCCUACGGGAGGCAGCAGUGGGGAAUAUUGCACAAUGGGCGGAAGCCUGAUGCAGCAACGCCGCGUGCGGGAUGACGGCCUUCGGGUUGUAAACCGCUUUCGCCUGUGACGAAGCGUGAGUGGCGGUAAUGGGUAAAGGAGCACCGGCUAACUACGUG